rnacentral:rRNA from 1 species
UACAGAGGGUGCGUGCGUUAAUCGGAAUUACUGGGCGUAAAGCGCACGUAGGUGGCGACGUAAGUCGGGUGUGAAAGCCCCGGGCUCAACAUGGGAAUUGCAUUCGAGACUGCAUUGCUGGAGUACGGAAGAGGAGGGCGGAAUUCCCGGUGUAGCGGUGAAAUGCGUAGAUAUCGGGAGGAACAUAAGUGGCGAAGGCGGCCCUCUGGUCCAGUACUGACACUCAAGUGCGAAAGCGUGGGGAGCAAACAGG